AUCGCUUCUCGGCCUUUUGGCUAAGAUCAAGUGUAGAAUCUGUUCUUAUCAGUUUAAAAACUGACCAAUGUAGAAAUCAUUACAAUAUGUGUGUGUAUAUAUGUAUAUAUUUUUAAGGCUUUUAAAAAUUUUUUUUAUUUUUAAGUAAUCUCUACACCCAUCGUGGGCCUGGCACUUACACCCCCCACCCCCC